rnacentral:rRNA from 1 species
GAUGAACGCUGGCGGCGUGCCUAAUACAUGCAAGUCGAGCGAACAGACGAUGAGCUUGCGCCGCGGACGUGAGCGGCGGACGGGUGAGUAACACGUGUAUAACCUACCUAUAAUACGGGUAUAACUUCGGGAAACGGGAGCUAAUAGCGUAGAAGAUAUUGAACCGCAGGGUGGAAUGGUGAAAGACGGUGUUUCUGGCACGUAUAGAUGGAUCCGCGCCGUAUUAGCUGGUUGGUAAGGUAACGGCUUACCAAGGGGACGAUGCGUAGACGAGGUGAGAGAGGGAUCGCCCACACUGGAAGUGAGCCACGGUCAAGGGUACUAAGGGAGGCCGCAGUAGGGAAUGUUACGCAAUGGGCGAAAGCAUGACGGAGCAACGCCGAGUGAGUGAUGACGGUCCUCGGAUCGUAAAACUCUGUUAUUAGGGAAGAACAAAUGUGUACGUAAAUAUGCACGUAUUGACGGUAACUAAUCAGAAAGCAACGGCUAACUACGUG